rnacentral:rRNA from 1 species
GACGAACGCUGGCGGCGUGGAUUAGGCAUGCAAGUCGGACGGUAGGGCUUUAUCGUAAGAUAGAGUUUGAGAGUGGCGAACGGGUGAGUAACACGUAGGAAUCUACCCUUAAGACGGGGACAACCCAGGGAAACUUGGGCUAAUACCGGAUGAGAGUGCGAGAGAUUGCAUUUAAAAGGAUGGCGAAAGUUGUCGCUUAGGGAUGAGCCUGCGGUCUAUUAGUUAGUUGGUGAGGUAAGAGCUCACCAAGGCGAUGAUAGAUAGGCGGCCUUAACGGGUGGUCGCCCACACUGGGACUGAGAUACGGCCCAGACUCCUACGGGAGGCAGCAGUGAGGAAUCUUCCACAAUGGGCGAAAGCCUGAUGGAGCAAUACCGCGUGCAGGAUGAAGCUUUUCGGAGUGUAAACUGCUUUUCUGAAGGAAGAUUAUGACGGUACUUCAGGAAUAAGGAUCGGCUAACUACGUGCCAGCAGCCGCGGUAAGAGUCACGUCG